rnacentral:lncRNA from 1 species
GGUGCUUAAUAAAUAUUGUUAAAUGAAUGCAUUUGUUAAAGGAAUAAUAACUUUACUAUGAACUUGGCCAGAUCUUUUGAGGAGCCAAGGCUUUUUAGGUCACACCACAAAAACGAAAUUACAAUAUGAUGGAGAUAAAAUACGUGGCAGACACCUGUAUUCCCAGCUACUUGGGAGGCUGAGGCAGGAGAAUUGCUUGAACCCGGGAGGUGGAGGUUGCAGUGAGCUGAGAUCAAGCCACUGCACUCCAGCCUGGGUGACAGAGCAAGACUCUGGCUAAAAAAAAAAAAAAAAAAAAAAAAAGCAAGAAAAGAAAAGAAAAAGAGUCGACUCCUGCACUUUGCUGGCAGCUCUGCUUCCUGCACCUGUUUGAACCUGUAUCUCUAAGGGCAGUAUACAGAUUGCAAACAAAAACUCACACAAGCAUGAAAUGUGGUCAUUUGCCCAACCUGACCAUGGGCACGGAGAAUUAUUGUUAUACUUUAAAUGGAACAUAAUAUUUAAUACAGAUAAAUACCUGU